UUUUUUUGGACUUGGGUCUCCCUCAUUUGAGCCCACUACCCACGAAAAUCAGUCUAUAAAUACUGAAGUUUAAGUAGAGGAAAACAUACUUGGAGUUACACUGGGAGAAGCAAAAUAUUCUGAGGUUUCCUUGGAACAAAACCCUGAGGAAAAAGAUAGUGAGAGAAGAACUAACAGAGUUCAAAGCAGCCUCCAAAACCUGAAGGGAACUCAACUGCACAGAAU
rnacentral:lncRNA from 1 species